rnacentral:rRNA from 1 species
GACGAACCAAGCGAACGUUAUUCGGAAUUACUGGGCGUAAAGCGUGCGUAGGCGGUUUGUUAAGUCUGUCGUGAAAGCCCCGGGCUCAACCUGGGAAUGGCGAUGGAUACUGGCAAGCUAGAGUGUGUCAGAGGAUGGUGGAAUUCCCGGUGUAGCGGUGAAAUGCGUAGAGAUCGGGAGGAACACCAGUGGCGAAGGCGGCCAUCUGGGACAACACUGACGCUGAGGCACGAAAGCGUGGGGAGCAAACAGG